GGCCCCAUCGACCAGGAAGGACUUAAAUGGAGCCCGCGGAGCCACACCAACGCGCCAGUAGACCAGGGACAUCAGCAGGCCCGGUCUGUCUACAGCACAAACGCAGGGCCUGUAGGAGCGUGUCGUGGUGACAGCGUAAAGUGGACAGAACGAACGAAUCCUAAGACGAAAACUAUUUAAAAGCAAUGGCCUGCGGCCGACGCGGGAGAAAAGAGAGGUGGACAGCCUACAGCUUUCCCAAAGCAAGAUCGUGUCAAUAAUCGCACCGUCUCGGGGGCGGGGGCGAAGCGCCCGACCAACCUUGGCAACCCUGAGCCGCCGCCGCCGCUCCCGCUUCCCGCCGCCGCCGGCCCCUGCGCUGCCGCCGCCACCAUGGCUCCCUCCUGCUCGCCCGCCGAGCCGCCUACCGCCGCCGUUGCCGCCGCCGCCGCCCCGUCCCCUCCGAACUGCUCCUCCGACAUAGUGCUACUUCCGCCGCCGAAGACGACACCCGCCGACGCCGCCGCCGCCGCCGCGAACCGAAACUAGCAGCAAAGUAAUCCCCGCCGCCGCCGCGCGAUGCCCGCUCUACCUCGCGAGGCACCCUAGACAAGGCGCGCGCGUGGCUGCAAGGGCUCCUGCGCCUCUCCCCGGCCUGCCCCCCUCGCCUCCCACUCUCGCGCAGCGCGCUCUCUCGCUCUCCCCGGCUGCACUGAAAA
rnacentral:lncRNA from 1 species